CCUACGGGUGGCAGCAGUGAGGAAUAUUGGUCAAUGGGCGAGAGCCUGAACCAGCCAAGUAGCGUGAAGGAUGACUGCCCUACGGGUUGUAAACUUCUUUUAUAAGGGAAUAAAAUGAGACACGAGUGGUUUUUUGUAUGUACGUUAUGAAUAAGGAUCGGCUAACUCCGUGCCAGCAGCCGCGGUAAUACGGAGGAUCCGAGCGUUAUCCGGAUUUAUUGGGUUUAAAGGGAGCGUAGGUGGGUUGUUAAGUCAGUUGUGAAAGUUUGCGGCUCAACCGUAAAAUUGCAAUUGAAACUGGCAGUCUUGAGUACAGUAGAGGUAGGCGGAAUUCGUGGUGUAGCGGUGAAAUGCUUAGAUAUCACGAAGAACUCCGAUUGCGAAGGCAGCUCACUGGACUGCAACUGACACUGAGGCUCGAAAGUGUGGGUAUCAAACAGGAUUAGAUACCCUAGUAGUC
rnacentral:rRNA from 1 species